UACGUAGGGUGCGAGCGUUAAUCGGAAUUACUGGGCGUAAAGCGUGCGCAGGCGGUGAUGUAAGACAGUUGUGAAAUCCCCGGGCUCAACCUGGGAACUGCAUCUGUGACUGCAUCGCUGGAGUGCGGCAGAGGGGGAUGGAAUUCCGCGUGUAGCAGUGAAAUGCGUAGAUAUGCGGAGGAACACCGAUGGCGAAGGCAAUCCCCUGGACCUGUACUGACGCUCAUGCACGAAAGCGUGGGGAGCAAACAGG
rnacentral:rRNA from 1 species